UCCAGAGGAAGGCUCGUCCGCUCUGGGUUAGUCGGGUCCUAAGCUGAGGCCGACAGGCGUAGGCGAUGGAUAACAGGUUGAUAUUCCUGUACCACCAUUAUUCGUUUUAAGCGAUGGGGGGACGCAGUAGGAUAGGCGAAGCGUGCUGUUGGAGUGCACGUCCAAGCAGUGAGAUUGAGUGUUAGGCAAAUCCGGCACUCUUAAGAUUGAGCUGUGAUGGGGAGAGGAACUUGUUCCUCGAGUCGUUGAUUUCACACUGCCGAGAAAAGCCUCUAGCUAGAAUAACGGUGCCCGUACCGCAAACCGACACAGGUAGUCAAGAUGAGAAUUCUAAGGUGAGCGAGCGAACUCUCGUUAAGGAACUCGGCAAAAUGACCCCGUAACUUCGGGAGAAGGGGUGCUCUUUGAGGUUCACGCUUCGAAGAGCCGCAGUGAAUAGGCCCAAGCGACUGUUUAUCAAAAACACAGGUCUCUGCUAAACCGUAAGGUGACGUAUAGGGGCUGACGCCUGCCCGGUGCUGGAAGGUUAAGAGGAGUGGUUAGCGCAAGCGAAGCUACGAAUCGAAGCCCCAGUAAACGGCGGCCGUAACUAUAACGGUCCUAAGGUAGCGAAAUUCCUUGUCGGGUAAGUUCCGACCCGCACGAAAGGCGUAACGAUUUGGGCACUGUCUCAACGAGAGACUCGGUGAAAUCAUAGUACCGGUGAAGAUGCCGGUUACCCGCGACAGGACGGAAAGACCCCGUGGAGCUUUACUGUAGCCUGAUAUUGAAAUUCGGUACAGUUUGUACAGGAUAGGUAGGAGCCUUAGAAGCGUGAGCGCUAGCUUACGUGGAGGCAUUGGUGGGAUACUACCCUAAUUGUAUUGGAUUUCUAACCCGCAGCACUUAUCGUGCUGGGAGACAGUGUCAGGCGGGCAGUUUGACUGGGGCGGUCGCCUCCUAAAGAGUAACGGAGGCGCUCAAAGGUUCCCUCAGAAUGGUUGGAAAUCAUUCAUAGAGUGUAAAGGCAUAAGGGAGCUUGACUGCGAGACCUACAAGUCGAGCAGGGUCGAAAGACGGACUUAGUGAUCCGGUGGUUCCGCAUGGAAGGGCCAUCGCUCAACGGAUAAAAGCUACCCCGGGGAUAACAGGCUUAUCUCCCCCAAGAGUUCACAUCGACGGGGAGGUUUGGCACCUCGAUGUCGGCUCAUCGCAUCCUGGGGCUGUAGUCGGUCCCAAGGGUUGGGCUGUUCGCCCAUUAAAGCGGUACGCGAGCUGGGUUCAGAACGUCGUGAGACAGUUCGGUCCCUAUCCGUCGUGGGCGUAGGAAAUUUGAGAGGAGCUGUCCUUAGUACGAGAGGACCGGGAUGGACAUACCUCUGGUGUACCAGUUGUCGUGCCAACGGCAUAGCUGGGUAGCUAUGUAUGGACGGGAUAAGUGCUGAAAGCAUCUAAGCAUGAAGCCCCCCUCGAGAUGAGAUUUCCCAACUUC
rnacentral:rRNA from 1 species